rnacentral:rRNA from 1 species
GAUGAACGCUGGCGGCGUGCCUAAUACAUGCAAGUCGAGCGAACAGACGAGGAGCUUGCUCCUUUGACGUUAGCGGCGGACGGGUGAGUAACACGUGGGUAACCUACCUAUAAGACUGGGAUAACUUCGGGAAACCGGAGCUAAUACCGGAUAAUAUUUCGAACCGCAUGGUUCGAUAGUGAAAGAUGGCUUUGCUAUCACUUAUAGAUGGACCUGCGCCGUAUUAGCUAGUUGGUAAGGUAACGGCUUACCAAGGCAACGAUACGUAGCCGACCUGAGAGGGUGAUCGGCCACACUGGAACUGAGACACGGUCCAGACUCCUACGGGAGGCAGCAGUAGGGAAUCUUCCGCAAUGGGCGAAAGCCUGACGGAGCAACGCCGCGUGAGUGAUGAAAGUCUUCGGAUUGUAAAACUCUGUUAUUAGGGAAAAACAAACGUGUAAGUAACUGUGCACGUCUUGACGGUACCUAAUCAGAAAGGCCCGGGUAACUACGUGCCAGCAGCCGCGGUAAUACUUAGGUGGCAAGCGUUAUCCGGAAAUAUUGGGCGUAAAACGCGCGUAGGCGGUUUUUUAGUCUGAUGUGAAAGCCCACGGCUCAACCGUGGAGGGUCAUUGGAAACUGGAAAACUUGAGUGCAGAAGAGGAAAGUGGAAUUCCAUGUGUAGCAGUGAAAUGCGCAGGGAUAUGGAGGAACACCAGUGGCGGAGGCGACUUUCUGGUCUGUAACUGACGCUGAUGUGCGAAAGCGUGGGGAUCAAACAGGAUUAGAUACCCUGGUAGUCCACGCCGUAAACGAUGAGUGCUAAGUGUUAGGGGGUUUCCGCCCCUUAGUGCUGCAGCUAACGCAUUAAGCACUCCGCCUGGGGAGUACGACCGCAAGGUUGAAACUCAAAGGAAUUGACGGGGACCCGCACAAGCGGUGGAGCAUGUGGUUUAAUUCGAAGCAACGCGAAGAACCUUACCAAAUCUUGACAUCCUUUGACCCUUCUAGAGAUAGAAGUUUCCCCUUCGGGGGACAAAGUGACAGGUGGUGCAUGGUUGUCGUCAGCUCGUGUCGUGAGAUGUUGGGUUAAGUCCCGCAACGAGCGCAACCCUUAAGCUUAGUUGCCAUCAUUAAGUUGGGCACUCUAAGUUGACUGCCGGUGACAAACCGGAGGAAGGUGGGGAUGACGUCAAAUCAUCAUGCCCCUUAUGAUUUGGGCUACACACGUGCUACGAUGGACAAUACAAAGGGCAGCGAAACCGCGAGGUCAAGCAAAUCCCAUAAAGUUGUUCUCAGUUCGGAUUGUAGUCUGCAACUCGACUACAUGAAGCUGGAAUCGCUAGUAAUCGUAGAUCAGCAUGCUACGGUGAACACGUUCCCGGGUCU